GCGGAAGUAGCUCAGUGGUAGAGCAUCGCCUUGCCAAGGCGAGGGUCGCGAGUUCAAAUCUCGUCUUCCGCU
rnacentral:tRNA from 1 species